rnacentral:rRNA from 1 species
GGCCGAUGACGUUACCGCAGAAAGGAAGCACGGCUACUCCGUGCAGGCAGCCGCCGGUAUACGAGGGGUGCAGCGUAUUCGGAUACUGGGCGGUAAGCGGCACGCAGGCGGUCUGGUAGUCAGAUGUGGAAAUCCCCGGGCUACCUGGGAACUGCAUUUGGAACUGGCAGGCUGAGUCUCGUAGAGGGGGGGUAGGAUUCCAGGUGUAGCGGUGAAAUGCGUAGAGAUCUGAGGAAUACCGGUGGCGAAGGCGGCCCCUGGACGAAGACUGACGCUCAGGUGCGAAAGCGUGGGAGCAAACAGGAUUAGAUACCCUGGUAGUCACGCCGUAAACGAUGUCGACUUGGAGGGCUGUUCCCCUGAGGAGUGGCUUCCGGAGCUAACGCGUUAAGUCGACCGCCUGGGGAGUACGGCCGCAAGGUUAAAACUCAAAUGAAUUGACGGGGGCCCGCACAAGCGGUGGAGCAUGUGGUUUAAUUCGAUGCAACGCGAAGAACCUUACCUGGCCUUGACAUCCAGAGAACGUAGCAGAGAUGCUUCGGUGCCUUCGGGAACUCUGAGACAGGUGCUGCAUGGCUGUCGUCAGCUCGUGUUGUGAAAUGUUGGGUUAAGUCCCGCAACGAGCGCAACCCUUAUCCUUUGUUGCCAGCGGGUAAUGCCGGGAACUCAAAGGAGACUGCCGGUGAUAAACCGGAGGAAGGUGGGGAUGACGUCAAGUCAUCAUGGCCCUUACGGCCAGGGCUACACACGUGCUACAAUGGCGCAUACAAAGAGAAGCGACCUCGCGAGAGCAAGCGGACCUCAUAAAGUGCGUCGUAGUCCGGAUCGGAGUCUGCAACUCGACUCCGUGAAGUCGGAAUCGCUAGUAAUCGUAGAUCAGAAUGCUACGGUGAAUACGUUCCCGGGCCUUGUACACACCGCCCGUCACACCAUGGGAGUGGGUUGCAAAAGAAGUAGGUAGCUUAACUCCGCGAGGCGCUAGCACAGCGUACUUACAUAACUCACA